rnacentral:rRNA from 1 species
AAUCAACGCUGGCGGCGUGCCUAACACAUGCAAGUCGAACGAGAAAGUGGAGCAAUCCAUGAGUAAAGUGGCGCACGGGUGAGUAACACGUGACUAACCUACCCUUGAGUGGGGGAUAACUGAGGGAAACCUUAGCUAAUACCGCAUAAUACCUACGGGUCAAAGGAGCAAUUCGCUUAAGGAGGGGGUCGCGGCCGAUUAGUUAGUUGGCGGGGUAAUGGCCCACCAAGACGAUGAUCGGUAUCCGGCCUGAGAGGGCGCACGGACACACUGGAACUGAAACACGGUCCAGACUCCUACGGGAGGCAGCAGUGGGGAAUUUUGCGCAAUGGGGGAAACCCUGACGCAGCAACGCCGCGUGGAGGAUGAAGUCCUUCGGGACGUAAACUCCUUUCGAUCGGGACGAUUAUGACGGUACCGAAAGAAGAAG